rnacentral:rRNA from 1 species
GUCCUUGCCGUAAACGAUGCAUACUAGAUGUAGUUGGAAUCAACCCCGACUGUGUCGUAGCUAACGCGUUAAGUAUGCCGCCUGGGGAGUACACUCGCAAGGGUGAAACUCAAAAGAAUUGACGGGGACCCGCACAAGCAGUGGAGCAUGUGGUUUAAUUCGAUGCUACGCGAAGAACCUUACCCAGACUUGACAUGUAGGAGACCGGUCCAGAGAUGGAUUUUUCCGCAAGGACUGCUACACAGGUGCUGCAUGGCUGUCGU